GGAGUCGAAAGAAUCAACUCCGGCAUAUCCUAGUGUUGGGAGGUUUGCUGAUAAUAUGUGCUAUCAACAGUACAGUGCUUCACUCAAAUGUGUUGAGUAUGAUGAAACUGGACAUGGAUGUUUGCUUGUCUUAGCUGAUAUGUUCUUGUAGUUUGUGAUAAGUUUGAAGGCUAGUGUUAUUUCAUAUGGAUUCAAGGUAAAAAAUUCUAGUAGAUAUUUGAUAAUCAAUGAUAUUUCUCAUACAUUGUGAUUAUUCUAAAGUUAUUGACUCCAUUCACUUGUAUGCGCGAAUCCCAUCUUUGGGUCAAUCCAACUCCUGCCUGCCAAGUGCUCAAUCAUCAAGAUGACAAGCUUCUUGACUUGAUCUACAACCAAGCUUAAGCUAAAUUUAUGGCUCUUCCUAAUUAAUAGAUUAGUUCUGAAAGGGUCUAGAAUCAAACUCAGAUAAGAGCAAAUGUCAGGAACAAUUCGAUGUUUACAAGGAAUGCAAGAAAAAGGAGGUUUUGCACAAAUCAGUGGCUCUCACUAAUCCUUAAAC